rnacentral:rRNA from 1 species
UACGUAGGGUGCGAGCGUUAAUCGGAAUUACUGGGCGUAAAGCGUGCGCAGGCGGUUUGGUAAGACAGAUGUGAAAUUCCCGGGCUUAACCUGGGAACUGCAUUUGUGACUUCCAGGCUAGAGUGCGGCAGAGGGGAGUGGAAUUCCGCGUGUAGCAGUGAAAUGCGUAGAUAUGCGGAGGAACACCGAUGGCGAAGGCAACUCCCUGGGUCUGCGCUGACGCUCAUGCAAGAAAGCGUGGGGAGCAAACAGG